AAGCAUUAAAGAUGUUCGCCGUGUUUCUGUAAAUCUAGUAUUACUGUAGUGCGCACAGAUUUGAUCUGAACCAGAUCAGCCUCAUUAGGACUGCGGGCAUCAAACAUCCCACAGCGGAUAGACUGGAGAUCUGCCUCACAAAAAAAGUGCAAAAAUCUCCCUCAUAUGGUCGCUAAAUGUCUUUAUUUGCAUUUAGCCCGCUGUAUCUUUCACUGAAGCAUAAAUUAAUGUGAUUCACGGGACGAGAGAUUUGGCGCAGCGACCCAAAGGAUGAGCUGAUGCUUCACCCGCAACAUGGAAAGGCAGGACACACUGCUGCAUCCCCGCAAUAAAACACAACCAGGAAUCUUGGAAAUUCAAAGGAUUUUGGCUUGCAACUGAACACUUUAGAGGUGGAUUUAUGUGGAUGAACAAUCAAUGGGAUGGAGACGGAAAUGGACGGAGAGCUACUUUAUUGAGCACGAGGGAUCCUAGAAGAUUAGAGUGUCCUAAAGCAGCAGCUCUGAAGGAUCCGUGCUUUGGUAAUGAGGAAUGGAUAAAUUAAGCUGGAGGUCUUGGAUGCUCCUGAAGGCGCAGCUCUAGAGGAUCCAUGUCAUUGCAUUGGUCGCUGUCCACUGCG
ensembl:lncRNA